GUAGUUAGCCGGAGCUUCCUUCUCGGGUACCGUCAUUAUCGUCCCCGAUGACAGAGGUUUACAAUCCGAAAACCUUCAUCCCUCACGCGGCGUUGCUGGGUCAGGCUUUCGCCCAUUGCCCAAUAUUCCCCACUGCUGCCUCCCGUAGGAGUCUGGACCGUGUCUCAGUUCCAGUGUGGCCGAUCAGCCUCUCAGCUCGGCUACCCAUCGUCGACUUGGUGGGCCGUUACCCCGCCAACUAUCUAAUGGGACGCGAGCCCCUCCUUCAGCGAAUUGCUCCUUUGACCCCUCUACCAUGCGGUAGCGUGGUCUCAUGCGGUAUUAGCAGUAAUUUCUCACUGUUAUCCCCCUCUGAAGGACAGGUUGCUCACGCGUUACUCACCCGUUCGCCACUAACUCAAGGAGCAAGCUCCUCUCGUCCGUUCGACUUGCAUGUGUUAGGCACGCCGCCAGCGUUCGUCCUGAACCAAGAUCAAAUUCUGA
rnacentral:rRNA from 1 species